rnacentral:tRNA from 1 species
GCCUCCGUAGCUCAGCGGAUAGAGCAACUGCCUUCUAAGCAGUGGGUCGUGGGUUCGAGUCCCGCCGGAGGCGCCA